GUGCCAGCAGCCGCGGUAAUACGUAUGGGGCGAGCGUUGUUCGGAGUUAUUGGGCGUAAAGGGCGUGUAGGCGGCGCGCGGCGUCCGGUGUGAAAACGCAGGGCUCAACCCUGCGGUUGCGCUGGAAACGGGCGUGCUGGAGUCCCGGGGGGGAAGCUGGAAUUCCUGGUGUAGGAGUGAAAUCUGUAGAGAUCAGGAAGAACACCGGUGGCGAAGGCGAGCUUCUAUUCGAGGACUGACGCUGAGGCGCGAAAGCGUGGGGAGCAAACAGGAUUAGAUACCCUGGUAGUCCACGCUGUAAACGAUGUGCACUAGGCGUGGGGCACGUCGGUGCUCUGUGCCGUAGCUAACGCGAUAAGUGCACCGCCUGGGGAGUAUGCUCGCAAGGGUGAAACUUAAAUGAAUUGACGGGG
rnacentral:rRNA from 1 species